rnacentral:rRNA from 1 species
UACGAAGGGGGCGAGCGUUGUUCGGAUUUACUGGGCGUAAAGGGCGCGCAGGCGGCUCAUUUUGUCAGGCGUGAAAGCCCCGGGCUUAACCUGGGAACUGCGUUUGAUACGGAUGGGCUAGAGUUCGGGAGAGGAGAGUGGAAUUCCCAGUGUAGAGGUGAAAUGCGUAGAGAUCGGGAAGAACAUCGGUGGCGAAGGCGCUCUACUGGACCACAACUGACACUCAGGGACGAAAGCUAGGGGAGUGAAUGGG